UACGGAGGGUGCAAGCGUUGUUCGGAUUUACUGGGCGUAAAGCGUGCGCAGGCGGUUUUGUAAGUCUGUCGUGAAAUCCCCGGGCUCAACCUGGGAAUUGCGAUGGAGACUGCAAGGCUAGAAUCUGGCAGAGGGGGGGUAGAAUUCCACGUGUAGCAGUGAAAUGCGUAGAGAUGUGGAGGAACACCGAUGGCGAAGGCAGCCCCCUGGGUCAAGAUUGACGCUCAUGCACGAAAGCGUGGGGAGCAAACAGG
rnacentral:rRNA from 1 species